CCGCGCCGGCUCCGGGCAGCCGAGGCGCUGGCACAGCCGGGAACGGGGGCCGGGGGCGGAGACACUUCGCCUACAAAGCCACCGAUGGGUGUUGGAUUUGCCUUCGGUGACCUUACGAUCUCUCCGCGUAAAAUGCUAUUUUACAUCAAAGCAGUCCUUUACUUUAAGGUUUGGUAUAUGACAAAUAGUCGACCAGUCUGGCAAGAGCACUUUGACAACUGGAAGCUUUCAGCGCAUGCUCUCCCAUGGAAUCAUGGGGUUUGAAGUCUUACCGAUAGACAGCAUUUCACUGCUGCUUCCUGAAAGGAAGAGAGCUCGACAGGGAAAAAAAUACUGGCACACUCCCUCUUCCCAGGGAAAACUGCUGCAGUCUGAAUCAUCAGCUCCGAGGAAAUAUCUGUCAGACUGAGCUGAAAGUGACUAACUAAACAUGUGCUUUUAAAUAGUCUGAUUUAGAAGCCCAGAUCAAAUAGCCACCUAUUCCAAACAACUGCUAGACAAAGAAAUAGUUCCAGUAUUUCCACACUUCCCUUACAAACUCCUAGCAUAAGAAAUUAAUUAUAAGCUCAUACCAGCUAUAAAGUUUACGGCUAUUACAAAGGAAAUCGUGCCACGUUGCUUAGCUGAAGAAUAUAUUAAAUAAUCAUGUGUCAUAAUAUAAUUUCUAAAUAUAUUCUGAAACUCAAACACAAAUAGGUCAAGUAUGAAAAUUUGAAAAGAAAUCAAAAUCAGUACAUAGGUGAAAAGUUGUACUAUUUUAGUAGUUUCCAAUUUCCAAGUUACAACUUUUUAUUACUGAAUUGUUACUACACUAAAAAUUCCACAAAAAAAAUAAGCUGCUCAGAAGAAAAUCAAGAUGUGAAUAUUACUAUUUAACAUUCCAUCUAUUCUGUACACUUCACCUCCCUUUCUUUCACUACCCACCAUCUGCAUAUCUCCAGCCUCCCCAUCAAUACACAGGCUGACAGGAGUUCCUCUCAUAAGAUAUUAAUAUAGUGAUCAUUAAUGUAGGUCGGGUAAAAUUUUCAGAAUUUCAUUCACUGACACUUGGUGUUCUGUUUUGCACUAGUCCGCGAAUUAUUCUGCAUAUUUAUUCUGGGUAAUUCAUAAUACUAAUUAUUCAGACCAAAUAGUAAUGCUCAUAAGGAAAUAUAUUGUUGAAAUCAGAAGUGUGAAAAUAACAGUGUUUAAUAAAAGUGCAGGCUGAUUUUCCAACGAUGAAAUAUGCAUAGCUUUGUGCAUGAAAGAGAGAUGACUAAAGCUGAGAAAAAUAAAUUAGGGCAGUUGAAAGAGUUGUUCUAACACUUACAUCUCUGCUUUCUGCACUCUGUUUAUGUUGGACUGUCUGGUCUGCCUGCCCUAAAUCAACUGUGUAAUUAAGAGUUUCUCAACACUUGCUCUAACCUGUUUGUGCUACUCUGAAUCAUUAAAGGCAGCAAAACUUUUUCUUACAGCAAUAGAAAAUACUUAAUUUUAUGAACUAUCCCACCUCUCACAGGGCUGGCUUUAGGCAUUCUGUGCCCUCCUUUAUGUCCCUAUUUACUUGUGGGUUAUUGCUUUUCAGAUGAUUUGAGGAUUCACAUGCAAGGGACCGCACUGUUUCUGUCAGUUCUUCCCAGGAAAGCUUCACUUGAUAGAUCAAACAUUAGGAUAAAGAAAAGCACUCCAGAACUAAAGAAAAUAAUGAUGUAAAGAGAGUUUCCGAUCAACUAGCUAAUAGAAGAAUUUUUUUGUUUAUUUCUAGCAACCAACUCCCUCAUAACUGGAAGUUAAAAGAUAGUAACGACAGCUGAAUCAGAACAGAAGAGCUUAAUUCAAUCUGCUAUAUGAAUUUUUUUACCUGGGCCAGUUCCAAAGAAACAAAUGUAAGAAAGGUCCAGAAUAAACCAAGCUAAU